UUCCCAUUUUGCCUUAAUAACAAACGUACCACACCAUUAUUUUCUCUCUAGCUAAUUAUUUUGUUGUUUCAAUAUGCAAGGAAGCAACAACGUGACUUCCAUUUAUAUGGAAACAACGCAGUUUUGAAUUGAUAGAGCACCAACGUGACUUGGUAUUUUACGGAAGAAAAAUGUAGUUUUUUUUUUCUCAAGAACAAUAUUCGGAUUUUGCUCACUGCUUCGAUCUCGUUAUUCCGUCUUAUCGUGUUGUUGAAUCCGGGCUUUCUUCGUAGUGAAGUAAGGUGGAAGAAGAUUAUUUCUUGGAAUAUAAGACCUGCAAGCUCGAGAAGUAGACGUUGGACAUUAGAUAGAGUUCAAGGUAGACAGGGAGGUGAGCUUGAUCCAGAUUCUUAGUAGCUGUCAGAUGAUUGAGAGCACUCCAUUGUUCGGAGGUGCUUAUGAUUCUUCUUUUGGUAUAUAUGCAUAUUUUGGGCACAACGGAGUCUUGUUCCGUCUAUAUGUUUAGUAUGUCAGUAGAGGCUCGUAGAUACGCAGUGUGGGUCAGAUGGUCUCACAAGAUGUUAUUAUUAUGUAUAUAUUAUUUUGGUGGCCGAGAGGCAAAAGUGGUAUAAGUAUUUAUGUUUCUAUAUAAAAUAUAAUUUUCCUACAAUUCGUGUAUAAAAUUGGUAAAAGAGCAUUAAAUGAGUAAGAUGAGUAUUAGAGCGAGUGGUGCUCGGUGGCUAGCCCCGGGUACCCGUCACGGUCCCUAGCUGGGUCGUGACAAAAGUGGUAUCAGAGCAGUUCGUCCUAGGAAGUGUCUACGAGCCGUGUCUAGUAGAGUCUUGUUUAUGGUGUGUAGCGCGCCACGCCAAUAAACAGGAGGCUACCGGGCAUUUAGGAAAAAUGACCAUCUUUCAUCUUAAGAGAUCGUGCGAUAGAGCCAAAAGAUAGGAAAUGGUAUCCCUUAUAUACUGAACUUUGAUUUCAGCAAGAGAGUGGUGUCGACAAGAGAAGACAAAUAAUGCUACUGGAAAUUACAGAGAUUAAUAUAUCAUUGAGGUUACGUUAUCAGAAAUUGUAUAUACGGAAUGGCGACUGGUCAUCAUCACGGUUAGUAAUUGUGAAUAUAGUAAGAAAAUGGAUUGAAUGUAUAUAUAUUGAUGAUAAGUUCAGUUACAAAGUGUGAACAGAAGAAGCUGAAGAAAUUAGUAAAAAGAUAAGUAA